rnacentral:rRNA from 1 species
UACGUAGGGUGCGAGCGUUGUCCGGAAUUAUUGGGCGUAAAGAGCUCGUAGGUGGUCUGUUGCGUCGGCUGUGAAAUCCCGAGGCUCAACCUCGGGCCUGCAGCCGAUACGGGCAGACUAGAGUUCGGCAGGGGAGACUGGAAUUCCUGGUGUAGCGGUGAAAUGCGCAGAUAUCAGGAGGAACACCGAUGGCGAAGGCAGCUGCCUGGCCUAGAACUGACGCUGAGGUGCGAAAGCGUGGGGAGCGAACAGG